GCCACCUGUUCCUAUGACUUCAAUGAACAUCAUGAUAUAGAUAAGAAUCAUCAUGUUUGCCUUCAGCCCAGGCAUGGAUGGUCGAAACCUAUGAGUUAUAAGAAAGAAGAUGGUUAAUAAUGAAGAAAGAAUACAUCAUGACCUGAACAUCUAGUAUAUACCGAACAGAGAGAAACAUUGCUUAUCCCAACUUUCCAUUUGGAAUUCAUGAAGAAUCGACCUAUAAGAAGAUGAUGAAGGUCAUAUUUACAAGCAUGUACAAUUAAUGUUCUUUCCAGGUUAAUUGAUCACAGGUUUUUUUUUUUUUUUAAAAAGUACAGAGGCU
rnacentral:lncRNA from 1 species